rnacentral:rRNA from 1 species
CGUACCUUUUGUAUAAUGGGUCAGCGACUUAUAUUCUGUAGCAAGGUUAACCGAAUAGGGGAGCCGAAGGGAAACCGAGUCUUAACUGGGCGUUAAGUUGCAGGGUAUAGACCCGAAACCCGGUGAUCUAGCCAUGGGCAGGUUGAAGGUUGGGUAACACUAACUGGAGGACCGAACCGACUAAUGUUGAAAAAUUAGCGGAUGACUUGUGGCUGGGGGUGAAAGGCCAAUCAAACCGGGAGAUAGCUGGUUCUCCCCGAAAGCUAUUUAGGUAGCGCCUCGUGAAUUCAUCUCCGGGGGUAGAGCACUGUUUCGGCAAGGGGGUCAUCCCGACUUACCAACCCGAUGCAAACUGCGAAUACCGGAGAAUGUUAUCACGGGAGACACACGGCGGGUGCUAACGUCCGUCGUGAAGAGGGAAACAACCCAGACCGCCAGCUAAGGUCCCAAAGUCAUGGUUAAGUGGGAAACGAUGUGGGAAGGCCCAGACAGCCAGGAUGUUGGCUUAGAAGCAGCCAUCAUUUAAAGAAAGCGUAAUAGCUCACUGGUCGAGUCGGCCUGCGCGGAAGAUGUAACGGGGCUAAACCAUGCACCGAAGCUGCGGCAGCGACGCUGAUGCGUUGUUGGGUAGGGGAGCGUUCUGUAAGCCUGCGAAGGUGUGCUGUGAGGCAUGCUGGAGGUAUCAGAAGUGCGAAUGCUGACAUAAGUAACGAUAAAGCGGGUGAAAAGCCCGCUCGCCGGAAGACCAAGGGUUCCUGUCCAACGUUAAUCGGGGCAGGGUGAGUCGACCCCUAAGGCGAGGCCGAAAGGCGUAGUCGAUGGGAAACAGGUUAAUAUUCCUGUACUUGGUGUUACUGCGAAGGGGGGACGGAGAAGGCUAUGUUGGCCGGGCGACGGUUGUCCCGGUUUAAGCGUGUAGGCUGGUUUUCCAGGCAAAUCCGGAAAAUCAAGGCUGAGGCGUGAUGACGAGGCACUACGGUGCUGAAGCAACAAAUGCCCUGCUUCCAGGAAAAGCCUCUAAGCAUCAGGUAACAUCAAAUCGUACCCCAAACCGACACAGGUGGUCAGGUAGAGAAUACCAAGGCGCUUGAGAGAACUCGGGUGAAGGAACUAGGCAAAAUGGUGCCGUAACUUCGGGAGAAGGCACGCUGAUAUGUAGGUGAAGUCCCUCGCGGAUGGAGCUGAAAUCAGUCGAAGAUACCAGCUGGCUGCAACUGUUUAUUAAAAACACAGCACUGUGCAAACACGAAAGUGGACGUAUACGGUGUGACGCCUGCCCGGUGC